UUAGUUACUUGGUGAGGAAAUGGCUCACCCGACUUUGAUUGGUACGGGAACUGACAGGUUAAUCCCCCACACUGGCACUGAGAUACGGGCCAUACUCCUACGGGAGGCCUCCCUCCGGAAUAUUGGGCGAUGGAGGCAACUCUGACCCGCCCAUGCCGCGUGUACGAAGAAGGCGUUAUGCGUUUUAAACUGCUUUUAUAUUUUAAGAAAUAAUCAUUGCGAGGAAACCUGACGGUACUAUAUGAAUUAUCUCCGGGUAACUCCCUGCCUUCAGACGCAGUAAUACGGAGGGUGCCAGCGUUGCCGGGAUUUAUUGGGGUUUAAGGGUGCGUANGCGGUUUAUUAGAUCGGUGGGGACUUACCCUCGCUCCUCGAUUGCAAUGCCCUUGAUACUGGUGAACUUGAGUGGGAUUGAAGUCGUUGGGUUGAAUAGUGUAUCUUAGAAAUGCAUAGAAAUAAUCCUGAACAACGAUUGCGUCUGCAAGUCACUAGAUCUCAACUGACGCUGACGCGCGAAGCUGUGGGGAUCAAAUACGAUUAGAUACCAUGGUAUUCCACACUG
rnacentral:rRNA from 1 species